rnacentral:rRNA from 1 species
UUGGAGGGCAAGUCUGGUGCCAGCAGCCGCGGUAAUUCCAGCUCCAAUAGCGUAUAUUAAAGUUGUUGCAGUUAAAAAGCUCGUAGUUGAAUUUCGGGAUCAGGGAAUCGGUCAUGCCUUGGUAUGUACUGGUUUUAUUGGUUCUCACCUUCUAAAGAACCAUAAUGUCAUUCAUUUGAUGUUGUGGGGAAUUAGGACUGUUACCUUGAAAAAAUUAGAGUGUUUAAAGCAGGCUUACGCUUGAAUACAUUAGCAUGGAAUAAUGAAAUAGGACAUCCGAUUCUAUUUUGUUGGUUUCUAGGAUCGAUGUAAUGAUUAAUAGGGAUAGUUGGGGGCAUUAGUAUUCAAUUGUCAGAGGUGAAAUUCUUGGAUUUAUUGAAGACUAACUACUGCGAAAGCAUUUGUCAAGGAUGUUUUCAUUAAUCAAGAACGAAAGUUAGGGGAUCGAAGACGAUCAGAUACCGUCGUAGUCUUAACCAUAAACUAUGCCGACUAGGGAUCGGAUGAUGUUUAUUUUUUAGUGACUCAUUCGGCACCUUACGGGAAACCAAAGUGUUUGGGUUC